AACACGUGAGUAACCUGCCCCUGACUCUGGGAUAAGCCCGGGAAACUGGGUCUAAUACUGGAUAUGCACCGUGGACCGCAUGGUCCUUGGUGGAAAGAUUUUUUGGUCAGGGAUGGACUCGCGGCCUAUCAGCUUGUUGGUGAGGUAAUGGCUCACCAAGGCGACGACGGGUAGCCGGCCUGAGAGGGUGACCGGCCACACUGGGACUGAGACACGGCCCAGACUCCUACGGGAGGCAGCAGUGGGGAAUAUUGCACAAUGGGCGAAAGCCUGAUGCAGCGACGCCGCGUGAGGGAUGACGGCCUUCGGGUUGUAAACCUCUUUCAGUAGGGAAGAAGCGAAAGUGACGGUACCUGCAGAAGAAGCGCCGGCUAACUACGUGCCAGCAGCCGCGGUAAUACGUAGGGCGCAAGCGUUAUCCGGAAUUAUUGGGCGUAAAGAGCUCGUAGGCGGUUUGUCGCGUCUGCCGUGAAAGUCCGAGGCUCAACCUCGGAUCUGCGGUGGGUACGGGCAGACUAGAGUGAUGUAGGGGAGACUGGAAUUCCUGGUGUAGCGGUGAAAUGCGCAGAUAUCAGGAGG
rnacentral:rRNA from 1 species